UACGAAGGGGGCUAGCGUUGCUCGGAAUCACUGGGCGUAAAGGGUGCGUAGGCGGGUCUUUAAGUCAGGGGUGAAAUCCUGGAGCUCAACUCCAGAACUGCCUUUGAUACUGAAGAUCUUGAGUUCGGGAGAGGUGAGUGGAACUGCGAGUGUAGAGGUGAAAUGCGUAGAUAUCUGGAGGAACACCGGUGGCGAAGGCGGCAUCCUGGACCGACACUGACGCUGAGGAGCGAAAGCCAGGGGAGCAAACGGG
rnacentral:rRNA from 1 species